rnacentral:rRNA from 1 species
UGUGAACAUACCACUUGUUGCCUCGGCGGAUCAGCCCGCUCCCGGUAAAACGGGACGGCCCGCCAGAGGACCCCUAAAACUCUGUUUCUAUAUGUAACUUCUGAGUAAAACCAUAAAUAAAUCAAAACUUUCAACAACGGAUCUCUUGGUUCUGGCAUCGAUGAAGAACGCAGCAAAAUGCGAUAAGUAAUGUGAAUUGCAGAAUUCAGUGAAUCAUCGAAUCUUUGAACGCACAUUGCGCCCGCCAGUAUUCUGGCGGGCAUGCCUGUUCGAGCGUCAUUUCAACCCUCAAGCACAGCUUGGUGUUGGGACUCGCGUUAAUUCGCGUUCCUCAAAUUGAUUGGCGGUCACGUCGAGCUUCCAUAGCGUAGUAGUAAAACCCUCGUUACUGGUAAUCGUCGCGGCCACGCCGUUAAACCCCAACUUCUGAAUGUUGACCUCGGAUCAGGUAGGAAUACCCGCUGAACUUAAGCAUAUCAAU